GAUUUGAGACUGAUCUGCCAUUCUCCUUGGCUGCAGCACUUGAAUAAAGCCUUCUUUUCUGGCAGUACUCACCGUCCCAGUGAUCAGCUUUCUGUGUGGUGAGCACAGUACCUGGACCAAACUCCUAGCAUUUCAAAAAAAACAAGCUACUCUUAUGGCCGUCAUUAGCAUCAUUAUCAACAACAAAACAAUAAGGACAAUAAACAGGAACUGGACACCUCUGCAAUUCUUGAGGGAAUCAACCAUAUUAAAGAAG